rnacentral:rRNA from 1 species
AUUGAACGCUGGCGGCAUGCCUUACACAUGCAAGUCGAACGGCAGCAUGGGUGCUUGCACCUGAUGGCGAGUGGCGAACGGGUGAGUAAUGCAUCGGAACGUGCCCUGAAGUGGGGGAUAACGUAGCGAAAGUUACGCUAAUACCGCAUAUUCUGUGAGCAGGAAAGCAGGGGAUCGCAAGACCUUGCGCUUUAGGAGCGGCCGAUGUCGGAUUAGCUAGUUGGUGAGGUAAAGGCUCACCAAGGCGACGAUCCGUAGCGGGUCUGAGAGGAUGAUCCGCCACACUGGGACUGAGACACGGCCCAGACUCCUACGGGAGGCAGCAGUGGGGAAUUUUGGACAAUGGGCGCAAGCCUGAUCCAGCCAUGCCGCGUGAGUGAAGAAGGCCUUCGGGUUGUAAAGCUCUUUCGGUGGGGAAGAAAUGGUUUCGGUUAAUACCCGGAGCUGAUGACGGUACCCGCAUAAGAAGCACCGGCUAACUACGUGCCAGCCGCCGCGGUAA